AUUGAACGCUGGCGGCAGGCCUAACACAUGCAAGUCGGGCGGAUGAAGGGAGCUUGCUCCUGGAUUCAGCGGCGGACGGGUGAGUAAUGCCUAGGAAUCUGCCUGGUAGUGGGGGAUAACGUCCGGAAACGGGCGCUAAUACCGCAUACGUCCUGAGGGAGAAAGUGGGGGAUCUUCGGACCUCACGCUAUCAGAUGAGCCUAGGUCGGAUUAGCUAGUUGGUGGGGUAAAGGCCUACCAAGGCGACGAUCCGUAACUGGUCUGGGAGGAUGAUCAGUCACACUGGAACUGAGACACGGUCCAGACUCCUACGGGAGGCAGCAGUGGGGAAUAUUGGACAAUGGGCGAAAGCCUGAUCCAGCCAUGCCGCGUGUGUGAAGAAGGUCUUCGGAUUGUAAAGCACUUUAAGUUGGGAGGAAGGGCAGUAAGUUAAUACCUUGCUGUUUUGACGUUACCAACAGAAUAAGCACCGGCUAACUUCGU
rnacentral:rRNA from 1 species